UUCUUAUUUUAAAAAAUAAAUAAUGAAAAUAAGGAACUUUUGUCUGUGGUCCUGAAUGAAAACAAGGUGUCCAGUGUUUUAUAGAAUAUUUUAAAA